rnacentral:rRNA from 1 species
AUGAACGCUGGCGGCGUGCCUAAUACAUGCAAGUCGAGCGAACAGACGAGGAGCUUGCUCGGCUGACGUUAGCGGCGGACGGGUGAAUAACACGUGGAUAACCUACUUGUAAGACUGGGAUAACUUCGGGAAACGGGAGCUAAUCCCGGAUAAUAUAUUGAACCGCAGGGGGCAAUAGUGAAAGACGGGUUUGGUGGCACUUAUAGCUGGAUCCGCGCCGCAUUAGCUAGUUGGUAAGGUAACGGCCUACCAAGGCAACGAUGCGUAGCCGACCUGAGAGGAUGAUCGGCCACACUGGAACUGAGACACGGUCCAGACUCCUACGGGAGGCAGCAGUAGGGAAUCUUCCGCAAUGGGCGAAAGCCUGACGCAGCAACGCCGCGUGAGUGACGAAGGCCUUCGGAUCGUAAAACUCUGUUAUUAGGGAAGAACAGAUUUGUCCUUAGCCAUGCACGUCUUGACGGUACCGAAUCAGAAAGCACCGGCUAACUACGUG